rnacentral:misc_RNA from 1 species
GAAAUGCGAUAAGUAAUGUGAAUUGCAGAAUUCAGUGAAUCAUCGAAUCUUUGAACGCACAUUGCGCCCCCUGGUAUUCCGGGGGGCAUGCCUGUUCGAGCGUCAUUUCACCACUCAAGCCUCGCUUGGUAUUGGGCGACGCGGUCCGCCGCGCGCCUCAAAUCGACCGGCUGGGUCUUCCGUCCCCUCAGCGUUGUGGAAACUAUUCGCUAAAGGGUGCCGCGGGAGGUCACGCUGCAAAACAACCCCAUUUCUAAGGUUGACCUCGGAUCAGGUAGGGAUACCCGCUGAACUUAAGC